rnacentral:tRNA from 1 species
GGAAGGGUGGCUGAGCCCGGUUGAAAGCGCAGCACUCGAAAUGCUGUAGGGGGGCAACCCCCUCGCGAGUUCGAAUCUCGCCCCUUCCG